rnacentral:rRNA from 1 species
UAUUGAAUUUUAAUGAAGA